GACGAACGCUGGCGGCAUGCCUAAUACAUGCAAUUAGAACUCAGUUGCGAACGGGUGAGUAACGUGUAGGUAAAUGCAUCAUAGCGGGGGAUAAAUAUUGGAAACGAUAGCUAAUACCGCAAACUUGGCUAUGGCCCUGCGUUGUAUUAGAUAGUUGGUGAGGUAAAGGCUCACCAAGACGACGAUACAUAGCCGACCUGAGAGGGUGUUAGGCAACACUGGGACUGGUACACUGCCCAGACUCCUUCGUGAGGCAGCCGUAGGGAAUCUGCGGCAAUGGACGGAAGUCUGACCGCGCAACGCCGCGUGAGUGAGGACGGUUUUCGUAUCGUAAAGCUCUGUUGUGAGAGAAGUGGUAACUAACCAGAAAGGGACGGCUAACUACGUGCCAGCAGCCGCGGUAAUUC
rnacentral:rRNA from 1 species